rnacentral:rRNA from 1 species
GCCGUAGGUGAACCUGCGGAGGGAUCAUUACCGA